rfam:Gossypium arboreum cultivar AKA8401 contig_7144_5, whole genome shotgun sequence.
UAUUAAAAAUUUCAUCCAUUUGUAUUAAUAAAAACUAGCGUGAUUGAUAGAAUAACUAAACAGUUAUACAUGGCAUGUCACGUGUAUUUCAUGCUAAUGUAUAGAGACCAAUUUUUAACCAUAGGAAUUGAUAAAAAAUUUAACA